rnacentral:rRNA from 1 species
CACCUGUUCCCAUGCCGAACACAGAAGUUAAGCUUCUUAGCGCCGAUUGUAGUGAAGGGUUUCCCUUUGUGAGAGUAGGACGUCGCCACGC